rnacentral:rRNA from 1 species
UUUGGGGGGGUGAUUUACACAUGCAGUCGAACGGCAGCACGGGUGCUUGCACCUGGUGGCGAGUGGCGAACGGGUGAGUAAUACAUCGGAACAUGUCCUGUAGUGGGGGAUAGCCCGGCGAAAGCCGGAUUAAUACCGCAUACGAUCUACGGAUGAAAGCGGGGGACCUUCGGGCCUCGCGCUAUAGGGUUGGCCGAUGGCUGAUUAGCUAGUUGGUGGGGUAAAGGCCUACCAAGGCGACGAUCAGUAGCUGGUCUGAGAGGACGACCAGCCACACUGGGACUGAGACACGGCCCAGACUCCUACGGGAGGCAGCAGUGGGGAAUUUUGGACAAUGGGCGAAAGCCUGAUCCAGCAAUGCCGCGUGUGUGAAGAAGGCCUUCGGGUUGUAAAGCACUUUUGUCCGGAAAGAAAUCCUUGGCUCUAAUACAGUCGGGGGAUGACGGUACCGGAAGAAUAAGCACCGGCUAACUACGUGCCAGCAGCGGGCGGUAAUA